rnacentral:rRNA from 1 species
CCGGGGCUAAUACCGGAUGGUUGUUUGAACCGCAUGGUUCAAACAUAAAAGGUGGCUUCGGCUACCACUUACAGAUGGACCCGCGGCGCAUUAGCUAGUUGGUGAGGUAACGGCUCACCAAGGCAACGAUGCGUAGCCGACCUGAGAGGGUGAUCGGCCACACUGGGACUGAGACACGGCCCAGACUCCUACGGGAGGCAGCAGUAGGGAAUCUNNNGCAAUGGACGAAAGUCUGACGGAGCAACGCCGCGUGAGUGAUGAAGGUUUUCGGAUCGUAAAGCUCUGUUGUUAGGGAAGAACAAGUNNNGUUCGAAUAUGGCGUUACCUUGACGGUACCUAACCAGAAAGCCACGGCUAACUACGUGCCAGCAGCCGCGGUAAUACGUAGGUGGCAAGCGUUGUCCGGAAUUAUUGGGCGUAAAGGGCUCGCAGGCGG